UUUUGGGGUUAAAACCCCCAGAGGGAAGGGCAUUCACUUCGCAGAAAAAAGCACCCGGCUUAACUCCGUGCCCAGCAGCCGGCGGUAAUACGGAAGGGUGGGAGCGUUUAAUCGGAAUUACUGGGCGUAAAGGGGCGCGUAGGUGGCUUGGCCACGCCGGUUGUGAAAAGCCCCGGGGUUCAACCUGGGGAACGGCCAUCCGGGAACGGCCCAGGCUAGAAGUGCAAGAAGAGGAAGGUUAGAAUUUCCCGGUGGUAGCGGGGGAAAUGGGGUAGNGAUUGGGAGGAAAUCCCGUGGGGGAAGGCGGCCCUUUGGCCUGACAAUGACCAUGAAGUGGGAAAGGGGUGGUAACCAACCAGAAUUGGUUACCUGGUUAUUCCNGCCGUUAACGAAGUUGGAUUACCGGUGGGGCCUUUUAAGGAUUUAUGGGGCCAGUUACGGGAUUAGUUGGCCGCCUGGGGAGUUCGGCCGCAAGGGUUAAAAUUCAAAGAAAUGGCGGGGGGCCGCCCCAACGGGGGGGCCAGUGGUUUUAUUUGAAGCCAAGGGGAGGACCUUUCCUUCCCUUGGCCUUCUGGGAAUUUGGUUGGGAUUCCUUUGGGCCUUUGGGAAAGCCAGGGNCGGUGGUGCCAGGCCGUUGUUAAGUUGUGUUGGGAAAAGUUGGGGUAAAUUCCGUUACGAGGGCCACCCUUGUCCUUUUUUGGCCACAGGUUAUGUUGGGAACUCUAAGGAGACUGCCGGUGACAAACCGGAGGAAGGUGGGGACGACGUCAAGUCAUCAUGGCCCUUACGGGUAGGGCUACACACGUGCUACAAUGGCCGGUACAAAGGGUUGCGAGACCGCGAGGUGGAGCGAAUCCCAGAAAGCCGGCCUCAGUCCGGAUCGGAGUCUGCAACUCGACUCCGUGAAGUCGGAAUCGCUAGUAAUCGUGAAUCAGAAUGUCACGGUGAAUACGUUCCCGGGCCUUGUACACACCGCCCGUCACACCAUGGGAGUGGACUGCACCAGAAGUGGUUAGCUUAACCUUCGGGAGAGCGAUCACCCACGGUGUUCAGGGGCGGA
rnacentral:rRNA from 1 species